rnacentral:tmRNA from 1 species
GGGGAUGUCACGGUUUCGACGGUGAUCCGGUUCCCUAGGAUGCAAGCCGGGAGUGAGUCCGACCCCGCAAAAUCAGGCUCAAUAAACCAAACGCGAACGCCAAAACGUUUGCUCUCCCCUCGGUGGGUGGCCGUCAGGCCAUCCGCGCCGUCGCCUAAACAGCGAUAGCGGGAGCCUCUCGUGGAGCCCCCGCCCACGGGAUGAAACUAGGGGGUACCCGCCCACGGGGACAGUGGGUAAGUCCUGAAAGCCCGCCUGGCUGAUGGUACCGACAACCACAGGCUGGGUCCAGUAGAGUUUUGCUGAGGUGCACUUCACUGGAUCGAGAUGAGCGCAUCAGCUAAGCUUGUAGACGCCUAGGGCGUCCGACCAUUGGACGCGAGUUCAAUUCUCGCCAUCUCCACCA